UAGUGUGCAUGCUGGAAGAAAGCGGAUCAUCGCUUAUUGGUGUUAGUGAACAGAAUGGCAACAUUUGCAUCUCUGUCGCUGAUGUGUAUGCUUUGCUGUGAAAAUUAUUGAAAUUAUUGAGCCUCCUGCCGCUUGCGAGAUUAUAAGGGCAAACAUUGUCCGGCCAUAUCUCAACUCCUGUGAUCAUACAAAGGAACAAGAAAUUUGCUGAAGAAGCCAUGAAUGAAUUCUGCAUUACACUUACCAAGGUUUAAAAAUUGUAUGUGGUUGGACUUCAUAAAUGUUUACAUUCAACUAUGAUUUAUUGUUAUGAGAAUAUUCAAUUGUAAAAAUGAUUUUUUUUAUCUUGAAGUACUAAAUUCAGUCUAGUAGCGGAUUUCACAAUAUUUAACGUUUUUAUGUAGAUUAAAAUAGAUUUAUUAUCUGUGUAUUUAUUAGUUUUAUUGAUUGUUUUUAAUGUGUCAAAAUAGUUAUAGUUAGUAUACCAAUAAAUCUUUGAAUAUAAUAUA